UACGUAGGGGGCAAGCGUUGUCCGGAAUUAUUGGGCGUAAAGAGCUCGUAGGCGGUCUGUCGCGUCGGCUGUGAAAACACGGGGCUCAACUCCGUGCCUGCAGUCGAUACGGGCAGACUAGAGUUCGGUAGGGGAGACUGGAAUUCCUGGUGUAGCGGUGAAAUGCGCAGAUAUCAGGAGGAACACCGGUGGCGAAGGCGGGUCCUGCUAGG
rnacentral:rRNA from 1 species